AUUCAGAUAGCUUAUAAAGAGUAUGAUAUUGAAGAUAUCAAGGAAAUUUUAAAUUUUUGAAUA
rnacentral:tRNA from 1 species